GGGUCUUAAGGUGAUAUUCAUGUCGAAUUGCAAAUUCGAAGGUGUAGAGAAAUCUCUACUAAGACUU
rnacentral:tRNA from 1 species